CUUUCCUGUUUCUCAUCCAGGUGGGCAACAAUAUUUGAAGAACAUCAUCAGGUACUCUUUCUUUCUCUUCCAUAGGCAAUGUUCCACUUAAAUAGAGUUUUGACUUUGAUAAGAUUCACAUUAUUUCCUUACAAUUGAAGAUUUAUUUCAUUAAACCUUCUGAAUAAUUCUGAAAAAUAUGCAAUGCCAUGCCUAAUAUUCUUGAAUUGGUUAGAGAACGAAGCAUUCGAUUCAUCAAAGAAUAUUAUCACAUUUUCAAAAGGUGCAUAAGUGUCUCAGGCAGUUUUCUUUUGAAAACCAUCAGUUUUUUCAAGACAGUAAUAACCCCAUGGUAGCUUCCUAUUAUUUAUUUUGCCCAUCUAUUGCUCAAGCAAGAAUGUUGGUGAGCAGAGUAUCCUUUUCUUUGAAAAAUUGCUCAACAAUGCAAAAUAUUGACUCACCCUUCUUAAUUGUUUCUAGUCCCCUUGCAAAUAAAAACUCUUGAAUCUUUUUUUUCUUCUUUUAUGCAGUGAACAUAACCAAGAAGCAAAGUUUCUUUGCCUGUCAAAGUUGACUCAUCCACCUGCAGGGCAAUUGUUGUCUGAACAGGAUCUUGUUGGACAUUAAAAACUUAGAGCACUAAUGGCCUACCUCAUCAGCAAGUUGGUCGAUGGUAGAGAAAUUGAAGAACCGUGCUGCUGCCUGUGAGAUGUUGAUGCGUGAAGAAGAUUUCCAGCAUCUGCGAUAAAAAGAAUAACUGAAAAUGCUGGAGAAUAUCAGCAGUCAUGCAGCAUCUGCAUGGAAACACAAAAAAGAGAUGGAAGUAUGUCUUGAAAGUAUGUACCAUCAGGCUCAAAGACACCUUGUGAUGAAAUGAUCUAUCUGGAUGGCAUGCAAAACAAAGUUUUUCACUGAACCUUGAUCAAGGAUCCAAAAUGAGUGACAGACAAGUUCAAGAGGCUUUUGACAAGAUGCCACACAUGAAGCUGCUAAAUAAGCUCUCAUUCUUUGAUGCAUGUGCAGAUGAUGUGACGUUGCAUUAUGUGACACCUUGCAUACAGGUGGUCUUCGGGAAGUGCAGCCCCUCUCCUCCCCCAUAACUUGGG